rnacentral:rRNA from 1 species
AACGAACGCUGGCGGCAUGCCUAACACAUGCAAGUCGAACGAGCCCUUCGGGUCUAGUGGCGCACGGGUGCGUAACGCGUGGGAACCUGCCCUUAGGUUCGGAAUAACUCCCCGAAAGGGGUGCUAAUACCGGAUAAUGUCUUCGGACCAAAGAUUUAUCGCCUUUGGAUGGGCCCGCGUUGGAUUAGCUAGUUGGUAGGGUAAAAGCCUACCAAGGCGACGAUCCAUAGCUGGUCUGAGAGGAUGAUCAGCCACACUGGGACUGAGACACGGCCCAGACUCCUACGGGAGGCAGCAGUGGGGAAUAUUGGACAAUGGGCGAAAGCCUGAUGCAGCAAUGCCGCGUGAGUGAUGAAGGUCUUAGGAUUGUAAAGCUCUUUUACCCGGGAUGAUAAUGACGGUACCGGGAGAAUAAGCUCCGGCUAACUCCGUG